CACCCCCCGCACCCCUUGGGCAGCCGCUGCCCAGGGGCUCCCGCCGGCCGGGCGGAGGGACCGGUGGAGUCAUGAUUCAGCACUUCUGUUUAUCAGCGGCCGGGGGGCGGCCGGGCUUGUCGCUUAAUUAAACAUUGACGGCCGAUAUGAGUGGAGUUCCCGCGUAGAGACGGUCCGGGUGAAAGUAAAACCUCUGCGUGCCCGUCCCACGCCGCUCCCGAGAAGUCGGUGUGCUGGGAAAAGUGUAAAAAUGGGAAUUGUUGACCUGAGGGAAAUCCUCGCGCUUCCCUGCAGCCGAGGGUGAAGGAGCGGCCCCGAGUAUUUCCCACAGCGAGGGCACAUCCCCACACUGAGGAGAAACCCCCACAGACCCACUCCGGGGGAUCCCCGAGUUGUCUGAGGGAAGAAGGCAGAAAGGUCAGGGGACUGGCCACAGAGAGCACUCAGAGCUGAGCCUAGAAAGCAGACUUCGUGUUUCCCACGCCUACGUAUCAACAACUAGACUUGGCUUGCCUACACCAGAAAAUAGACUGGCAUAGCUGGAGCUGGGUAAUUAUACUGUAACAGUUUAUGCCGGAAUAACUCUCCUUGUGGACACUCUCCUCCAGAUGGAAAGUGACUUCCCAAAAGCUGUCCAAAUGAAUUCACUCAACAGCACACACUUGGAGUUUUGUCUUCCCCCCCCCUCCCACCCCCCUUUCCCUCUUCAUUUUGGGGGGUAAAAAUUCCUGAGAUAUGGGUCUCGGCAGCGUUUUGAAGCCUUUGAUCACUUUUACAGACCAUUAAAAGCGGGGACAAAUGCAAAACAUGUCAUUGAAAUGCUACAAGUCUUGUUGUCAAGAUUUUUAUGGUGCUUUUCAUCAAAAUGUUGAAAACUGAAAGCUUCCAGCUGGCUCUCCAUGCAGGUAAUAACUUAAUAGCUAACAGCUUUUCUCCCAGAGCUCCUGGAACCUGCCUGAGCCAUGGAAGCUGAUGGGAAAAUCCAGACCCAUCCUCUACAGUAAAUAUUUUCUGGGUUUUUUUUUAAUCCUGCUGCUCUGAAAGCCUUUGAAACCAAAUGAAGCUCUGAAAACAAGGAGGAGUGACCAAGGGAAAAGUACAGGGAAGGGAAUAAAGUAACAGGAGUUGUCUUUGUAAAUCAGCUAACUCCAAGGGCUGCAGAGAUGAGCACAUCCUCACUACAGAAACACGGGGCUGAAUCACUGUUUCAAGGCAGACCUUGGCUCUGGGCUCUAGCAAGAGCUCCACAGUGAUUUACAUUGCCCAGCUCAGCAGAACUGCUGUGGUGAUCUUGAUCAAGUGAUGGCUUGGGGAUCAAGAGAGCCAGAUUCACAUCCAACAGUGACCAGAGGUCCUCCACAUGAUUUUGGCCAAGCCAUUAUUGCCUUGCGUUUUUCAGCUCUGCAUUUCUGAAACAGCAAUUAAUGCACUGAGAGCUUCUCUUCUGCGGAGCAGGGUCCCAAGAGCAGUUCUCAGCUUUGCCACAUUACAGAGGUCCUUCUGGCACACCUCUGAAAGAGCCAUUCCUGGAGCUCCUGGGAGCCCCUUUCCAUUGCCAUCCACAGGACCUCAGCCCUGCCUGCCCUGGGACAGUGUCCUGCCACACAAGUCUGGCUGUCCCCAGGAUCAGAGGCUGUGCCAGGAGCCACCUCCUCAAGAGCUCUGAUGUCCUCCUUGGCAUUUGCUCAGUCUCCCCGAGCCUUGGUUCCCCUCCUGUGUGCUGGAGAUAACAGAGCUCCCUGGUCUGACAGGAGAGUUUAAUUUCUCAUCAUUUGACAGCAAUGUGCUUUGAUAGGUUUGAUAGGCUCAGCCUGCUUUCAGCUAAAUAUUUAACCAUUUAACCCAUAAAUAUGUGUGUGUAUAUGCACAUGCACAUGUGAGAAUUGUUAUUCAAAACUUCCAUCAUGCUUUUUAUGUAAAUUCUGGUUUAAAGUUUCUAAUUCCCCUUUUUUUUUAUAUGCCUGUUUAAGGUCAAGGUGCUCUAGGAGUUCACUCCCAAAACUUUCUAUUUGGUAUUCACGUAAAUAGUAGCUCAGCACAGCGUAAGCUCCAGCCUUAUGUACACUUAGCAAAUUAAAAAAGACUGAUGUGCCACUCUGUUGCCUUGGGCAGCACUGAGCAUGGCAGAGCAGCAGACCCCUGCAUCAGCUCUCUUGCUGUUGGACUGAGCACUCUCUUCCCUUCCCAUGGAAGGGGCACUUUGAAGACAAACUGGAUCCAGUCCCAAUAUACUUUGGAGAGGACAAACACAGACCUUUCUUUACUUAACUGUGCGCUGGGCAAUCUAAAAACCAUAUAAGCACUAAUCUAUUUGUUAUUCCAUCUCCUCCUCUUGCCUACAAGGAAGCACUGUUUUAUGCUUAUAUGUAUCAAUUAAUGGACCUAUAAAGAAAAUAACGAACAUCCUUGAAUACCUUCUGAGCAUACUCUAUUAAUUUUAAAAGGGAUGCAACAUACUGUACCCCCUGUAUUUCACCAAGAUAAAAGCCUAUAGAUUAAUUCCUAUUAAAACAGUUGGUAUUUUCAGGACAUGCAGAUGUAAUUUAUAGAGAGGCAAAAUACUCAUAUUAGCUCAAAGGCCACAGAAACUGUAGAUCUGUGUCUGUUACUGUAGUUGUACAGGCAUUCAUUGUACAGAGAGCAGUUGAAAAGGCAGAGUAUGUAAUCUGAAUACUAAAUUUGUGAAUAGUUUCUCACUUGGGCUGGUUAGGCUUUUCAAGCGCAGCGGAUGCUUUGUGGGGGACUUUGUAAAACAUUCCGCUAAUAUAUCACAUGGUUCCUGUAUUUUCUUCUCUUAUCUUUACUGUCAGAGCUUUAUUCAUGAAGACACAAUAUUUGAUUCUUUAAAGGGCACCAGCUCCUGCUCUGUGCUCUCCACCUGAAUUCAGUGUGCUCCAUGUGAGACUAUUUUUAUAACAAAUACUUCUUCCUUUCUGUAUGAAGUGGACAACUUUAGGUGUGUAUAACCCAGAAGUAUACAAGAAACAGAUCUUUUCCCUCACCCUCAUAUAUUCCAAUUCCUAUAUCCAAGUUACUUGGAAAAUAGUGUUAUAUUUUCUUUUUUUAUCAUCCACAAUAAAAGUGUACAGAUUUUGUCUUUUAUUAGAGAGAUAUAAAUGUAUAUGGAUAUUUCAUUUAUGAGGAAGGGAAAUUCUAAAGUGUCCUAACAAAAUUUAAUUAUGACACAAGCUACUAACAGAGAAUCCUUGAGCCUGGGAUCAUUUUUAUUCGUUGCUUGUACAGCACCUAGCACAAUGAGGAUUUAUGCAUGACCUAGCUUCCCACUUAGUACUUCAACAAAAAUAAGAAUUAACUCUUGCUCUGCUUAUGGCAAGAAAACACAGUACCAACAGAAUUAUAUGCAUGCCAUACUGCACAGAGAACACCACAGAAUUAUGAAGCUCACGAAGCAGCCAAUACAGAAGUGUUCUGGAUCUGUUUAAAUUACUGGAGCUGCUGGAGGCGUUUAGGCAGAGAGACAAUUGUUACUCAAUCUAAAACUUGGCAAAAUGACAUGUGUCAAUUAUGUUGAGUAUUGAAAAGGACCAGGGAACAUUCAAUGACAAAUGACCAGGCUCACAGCUUUGUAACAGCUGAAAAUUUGGUGGAAAUGGAGUUCUUCCACUUCUCUAUGACAGGAUUACCAUGAAUGUUGAAUGUGAAAAGGUCAAAAGUUGCCAUUGGGCUUGAAAGGGCUUCAACACAGAAGAAUUCUAUCAAAUUUGGCUAUGAACAUCGUGGGAGCAGGUCUUGUAGGGCUUCCAGCAUUGACCUGCUGGGUUCAGCCUGCUCUAUUCAUGCUGGGUGAAAUACAAACCAGAUACAGCUACCCAAUGCAUACAUUUCUGUACUUGGAAAGAGUUUCUACUGCAGCUCUUUAAAGCUUAGCAAAGAAUUGAGGAAUAAGGACAUUUUUUCGUUGAAUCCAGCCUGCCUGUAAGUGCACAGCUAUGGCCAACGGCUUCCUGGGGCCCAGGAGCUACAGGGGUGCCCCAGGCCAGCCUGGCAGGAGCCUCAGCAGCCCAGGGUCCAUCCCACAGCACCCAGGCCACUGAUGAGGCCCAGUCUAACCAAAAACCCCUGAUUUUCAGGCAAAAUGAGGCUGCUACUGAGACAGCUCAGAGUUCAAGCCAAGAAGUCAGUCUGCAGGCCAGGAACAGCAGGGUCCAUGGCUUGCCAGGGGCACAGCUAGGAGACCAACCCUCCUCAAACAAAGCCCAGGCUCUGGGACUGAGCUUAAAUGAGCUCCUGACUCAUAGGAGUAUGAGUGAAGGCCCUAGCUGAGGCUGAUCAGGGUAAUUUAGGUCUGUUAGUGCCAACCCCACUUGAACUCUGAAUAAUAUGGAGCAACAAGGAAAGUAAUAGUUGACCUGGGUGAGGUUGUGACCUCAUUAAGUGAGGUUGUCUCACUCACUGAUUGUGUACACUCUCACUUCGCAGGAGCUAGUACAAAAUCAUUGAAUCAUUUAGGUUGCAAGAGACCUCUAAGAUUCAGUCCAGCUGUUGCCCCAGCUCUGCCAGGCCCACCACCAGCCCAUGUCCCCAAGUGCCACCUCUCCAUUAGUUAGGUGUCCCCCUCCUGCUUUGCUGGAAGAGCGGUGCUGUGCAUGAGGGGUGUAACUGGUGUGUUGAGCUCACAUCACACCUUACCUAGCAGGAGCUUGCAGAUCUCCCUGCAAGUUAAGCAGGCUGUUUUCCCUGUUUCUACUUGGGUGGUUGCUGGGCCUUUCUUCAAAGCACCUGAAGGAUGUCCUGUUUAAUCAUUUCAGUCCUCACUCACCACAUUUCCAAAAACAACACACCACCCCUGUUCAGUGUGCAUAGCUACAGAAAAGUCAGCACAAAUCUACAGGAACAUACUUUACCCUCAUUAGUUCUUGUUCCUCUUCCUUCUCUGCUUUUCCAGUAUGAAGCCAGCGCUUGUAGAGAGCCAGAAAGAGGCUAGGUCGCUAAAACUGGUUUCUGUGGAUGUCAGGGACUGAACAGGUAAAGCAUCUUUCAGCCUGACAACAAUUCCUGCAGGUGUGUGGCUCUGCAGUCUGACCUGAUUUAGGGGCUGGGCACAGCAGUCCCAGGUCAGGGAUUAGUCAGCCCCCUUCGAGCUGUUCAGCACCAGGCAUGCACUCAGUAGGAGCAGUGCAGUGUGAAGGAUCACAACUGCGCUGAGCACUGGGGGUGAAAAGCUGUCAUACAAACCAGUCUUUAGAUCCUUGCAGAAACGGUGUGUCAUGGUCUAAUGAAGUCAGAACAUGAAAUAGUCUGAGAAAACAAAAACGCCCGGCCCUCCACCUCCAGAAGAGGCACAGCUGAGCCAAAGGCUGACACCCUCAUCUCAGAGAUGAAGGACAGCCUGGGGCCUAGGCCAGAUUCUGGAUUGUGGGUGACUAGCUUACAAUACUUUGCUUUGGAGCAGGAUAUUAAUUUCCCCUCCAUUUAUAAGGGCUGUUCUGCCAUAGGCUCCUUGCUUAGCCUCCUAUUCCUCAUCUGCUUCUAGAGUCCAUGGAAAAGACUGAUGUGUCCAUUUUGCAGCUCCAAGCACCAAAAUUAGAUUCCAGCUUGUAGUCACUCUCCAGAGGAGCAUUUAUUUCUCCAGUGACUACAGAGAGAGGUUGUGUUUACCAUCUGGCUAAAUUAGUUCCUUACAGUGGGUGAAUAUCCCUGUCCAUACUUCUGUUCUUCAUUGAGGAAAUAAAGCUGAUGGUCCUGCUUCUCCUCUGUCAACUGUGCUGAGAAUCAGCAACGUUCCAGGGGCAGGGACUUGGACACAGCUGAGAUGGAGCCUUGCCUGUGGGCAAAGGGACAUUUUAAAAAGGGGGUUUUAUGCCUCCUUUGUGCUUGUAAGCAAAGUGUCAUCCUAGAAGUGUCCUGGGGCUUGAUUGUGAAAAGCGACACCUGAAAUUAACUGGCCACAUAAUCAGCUUUAAGGGGAGCUAGGUUAACUUUGAUUAAGUGCAAAUAACAAUUUAGAUCAUAAAAAUAAAACAUUAGCAUCUUUUUAUGCUCCUCUUAGCACUGCAUGAAACAACAUGUGACCACAGCCUUUAAAGCUGCAUGUUAACUUUUACUGCAAAGCUUUGCUCUGUCUCACUCUGGUAGCAGAGCUGACAGAGUGCUCCACAGCCCUUUAUAGGAGACUGAUUCUUUUACUGGUAUAAGACUUCUUCAUUUUCUAAAGUUUUAUUUAUUAUUCUUACUUUACUUGUGGAAAGGAAUAACAUUUCUCUACAUCCAGACAUUACCCACACAUAACUGUGCAAGCAAAGAAAACAUAACUUCAUUUUUGUGGUUUGAAAAUGCCUCCUUUUUCCUGUUUAUUUUUUUUGUUGUUUUUUAACAGGGAGGCAUUUCUAUUUUUUAGUUCUCCUUUGGUGAUAUAAAUCAAUGAACACAUCAUUUGGUCUCUAUAUUAAAGAGAUAAUCUUUUGCUCCUGGC